rnacentral:rRNA from 1 species
ACGCUGGCGGCAGGCCUAACACAUGCAAGUCGAGCGGUAGAGAGAAGCUUGCUUCUCUUGAGAGCGGCGGACGGGUGAGUAAUGCCUAGGAAUCUGCCUGGUAGUGGGGGAUAACGUUCGGAAACGGACGCUAAUACCGCAUACGUCCUACGGGAGAAAGCAGGGGACCUUCGGGCCUUGCGCUAUCAGAUGAGCCUAGGUCGGAUUAGCUAGUUGGUGGGGUAAUGGCUCACCAAGGCGACGAUCCGUAACUGGUCUGAGAGGAUGAUCAGUCACACUGGAACUGAGACACGGUCCAGACUCCUACGGGAGGCAGCAGUGGGGAAUAUUGGACAAUGGGCGAAAGCCUGAUCCAGCCAUGCCGCGUGUGUGAAGAAGGUCUUCGGAUUGUAAAGCACUUUAAGUUGGGAGGAAGGGCAGUAAAUUAAUACUUUGCUGUUUUGACGUUACCGACAGAAUAAGCACCGGCUAACUCUGUGCCAGCAGCCGCGGUAAUACAGAGGGUGCAAGCGUUAAUCGGAAUUACUGGGGCGUAAAGCGCGCGUAGGUGGUUCGUUAAGUUGGAUGUGAAAUCCCCGGGCUCAACCUGGGAACUGCAUUCAAAACUGACGAGCUAGAGUAUGGUAGAGGGUGGUGGAAUUUCCUGUGUAGCGGU